rnacentral:rRNA from 1 species
UACGUAGGCCGCAAGCGUUAUCCGGAUUUAUUGGGCGUAAAGCGCAUGUAGGUGGUUUCGCGCGUCUUUUGUGAAAGCCCGCCGCCCAACGGUGGAGAUGCAGGAGAUACGGCGAGACUAGAGGAGGGUAGAGGUGCAUAGAACGCACGGUGUAGGGGUGAAAUCCGUUGAUAUCGUGCGGAAUACCAAAGGCGAAGGCAGUGCACUGGGCCCUUCCUGACAUUGAGAUGCGAAAGCGUGGGGAGCAAAAAGG